AAGUGAGGGGAUUAGUAUAAUUCGUAUGAGGUUCUAGUGAUGAAAUGAUCAUGGACUUCCAAAUGACACAAGGUUAAUUGGUCAAAUAAAAUCCUUAUAGCGGGAAAAAAAAGUUGAUAUCGGCACUCUCUCUACGUUUUUGAUCUUGCAAAACGCUGUUCUUCAUCCAAAUAGAGGAACUCCUCCAAAUUACAAGAAGUGAAGAAGAUGAAUCAAAUUCGAAGAAGUUCCUCUAUUUGAAUGUAAUUCUGCGAUGAACUAACACUAAUUAUGGUUGACUGAAGCUUUAGUUUUUAUGAAAGGAUCACGAGAGGGCAUACUUGGAUUCGGCCGAUUGGACUCUUGAAAAGGUUCCUCCUUACACACCAAUCUGAUGGAUUUUAGCUACAUACAAAAAAAUUGUAUUAUGGCUUCCAUAGCAUUGUGAAGUUCUUGUAGUAUUAGUUUGAAAUACUAAGUUGUGCAUCAGUUGUUAGUUGUUACCUACUUGUUUUUUGAGGUACCUUGAGCCAAGUUUUGAACUUUUCAAUAGUAUUGUGAAGUUCUUGUGGCAUUAAUUUGAAUUAUUAGGUCGUUCAUCAGUUGUUAGUUGUUACCUACUUGUCUUUUGCACCCUGAGGAUCUUCAGCUAUUUGGGGUACCCUAAGGACCUCAAACCAGAUUUUUGCUUUGAAUUUUUUUUAUCAUGUGCACCAUAAUUUACUAAAAGUGUUAUACAAAAAAUGAUCUAUGCAGAUCUUUCAUUCUAAAAAGUGAAAAGCAAUGUAUCUUAUUUUUCUCAUGGUUGAUUGUUCCAUGUGUGCUUAACGCAUAUUAACUAUUAUUCUGUUAGUUAUCUUCUUACUUUAUUAAGUGCUUUGCUAUACUUUGUUCCUUCGAACCAAACAUCUACCAGCUAAGAGAACAUACAUAUUGAAAGCACUUUGAAGAGAACAUACCUUCGAAUGAGGCUGGAGACGAUGACGGGAAGGAACAUUGAAAGCACUUUGAAGAGACUAUUUUUAAGAGUAUCACGUAUCAGAGAAAGUUGGCUGUGCUGGAUGGCCUGGGUCUCAGAUCUUGAAUGCUUUCCAAGAGGCAGGAACUUGAUGAACAAGGGUGAAUACGCUGAAUGCUCAAGUCAGAAAUUCUGACAUUUAGGAAGGGGUCUGAAGGCCAGUUCAGUAUGAAAUAUGCUAAAACAUCAGCUGAGUUUCUUCUGAGUUCUGAGAGGAAAAUGUAAGUGACUUGUUUCACGUGUUGCAGCUUGUUAAUUUUUUCAACAUCAAAUUAACCCAAUGUUCUCAGAGGUUUUUUUUUUCCUCUUUUUUUGGAGAGGCGCAUGUUUACCUCUGUAAUACCAUCAACGCCCUCUUCGCUGGUGCUUCUUUGAAGCACCCCAAUUCAAAGGGAAUUACUGCAAGACUCACUUCUUCAUAGAUAUUGCCUAGAAUAAAUCCUAUGACUAACCAAGCUAUUGCUUAACUUGUGAGUCAUUCUGCGGUUCUUCUUGAGAGAUUGGUUUAACUAACAAACCAUGUCAUAUAUACUUGUUUUGUACAAUUUACACAAAAAGACAUAAGAAUAACAAGAUAACUUAUCCAUCAGUAACUAAGAACAUAUAGGUUAAGACUGAUAGAAAAUAUGAAGAUUUAAUGGUACCGCACACUCAACUCCAUUUGAAUAAUCACCUAGAUUCAAAAAGAUGGCACAAUGCCAUAUCCACCAUCUGCCAUCAAUGAGUUGGUGAACAUCUGAUCCAUCUCUGCUUCCACAUCUGUUCUCUUUGCAAACCGGCCUUUGAUCCGAGGCCUAGUCUCUGCAUAGGCCUUUCUUGAAGCAUAACGGAUGGUUUUCUCAAAUUUUCUAUUCUUCUUCUUUUCCCUGUAUCUCAUGACCCUAGCCUCUCUGUCCAUUGGUGAUAGUUGGGUUGGCACUUGCGUUGGAGGACUUGAAAACAGGUCUAUUGUUCCUUUGGGGGUCCUUGGAUGUGACACAGACAUAUCACUCAUGGUGGAUUCUGGUACGACACCUACAUCCAGGGA